rnacentral:rRNA from 1 species
GGUCAAGUAAUGAAGUGCACAUGGUGGAUGCCUUGGCAGUCAGAGGCGAUGAAAGACGUGAUAGCCUGCGAUAAGCGUCGGUGAGGUGGCAAUAUCCUGUGACCCGGCGAUUUCUGAAUGGGGAAACCCAGCCAACAUAAGUUGGCUAUUACACAGUUUACUGUGUAAGGCAAACCGGGAGAAGUGAAACAUCUCAGUAUCCCGAGGAAAAGACAUCAAUUGAGAUUCCCCAAGUAGCGGCGAGCGAACGGGGAGGAGCCGAUCGAAUUUACAGUAGCAAAAUGGCGUGGGAAAGCCAACCAUAGUAGGUGAUAGUCCUGUAUGCGAAACUGUUUAUGAGACAUAUUAAGUAGGGCGAGACACGUGAAAUCUUGUCUGAAGAUGGGGGGACCAUCCUCCAAGGCUAAAUACUCCUGACUGACCGAUAGUGAACCAGUACCGUGAGGGAAAGGCGAAAAGAACCCCUGUUAGGGGAGUGAAAUAGAACCUGAAACCGUGUGCAUACAAGCAGUCGGAGCCCGACCACUUAAUCGUUUUGAGGAUAACAAUGAAUUUUUACUACGUCUAUGUCAUACAAAACGUGGAUAAUCAUGAUGAGUUUUAUGUUGGUUUUACCACCAAUUUAAAACAAAGAAUUGAUGACCAUAACAAUGGCACAACUUACUCAACCAGAGCAAGAACAUGGCGUAUUGUUUAUUGUGAAGCCUACAUUAACGAACAAGUAGCAAGAAAGCGAGAACGAAC